AUGAACGUAUGGUUUGGUUUAAGCGCAGAUGGCGUUGAUCCUUUUGGGGAGCUGAGCAGCAAUCAUUGCACAUAUCCCAUGACUCUAUGUAUCUAUAACCUUCCUCCUUGGUUGUGCAUGAAGUGGAAGUUCAUUAUGAUGUCAGUGCUCAUCCAAGGCCCUAAGCAACCCAACAACGACAUUGAUGUGUACCUAAGGCGAUUAGUUGAAGAACUUUUACAGUUGUGGAAUCGAAAAGUGAAGGCAAUAUGCCCUAAAGGCAAUAAUAAAGUUAUUAUUUUAUAUUUCUUUAUAUCAUUGUAA
rnacentral:rRNA from 1 species